UACGAAGGGGGCUAGCGUUGCUCGGAAUCACUGGCGUAAAGCGCACGUAGGCGGAUUGUUAAGUCAGGGGUGAAAUCCUGGAGCUCAACUCCAGAACUGCCUUUGAUACUGGCGAUCUCGAGUCCGGGAGAGGUGAGUGGAACUGCGAGUGUAGAGGUGAAAUUCGUAGAUAUUCGCAAGAACACCAGUGGCGAAGGCGGCUCACUGGCCCGGUACUGACGCUGAGGUGCGAAAGCGUGGGGAGCA
rnacentral:rRNA from 1 species